UGCCUGGUGUGUCACAUGCUGGGUUCCAGGCAACCCGUAACCCGUGUUUUUACAACCUUCUACCCGUGAAACUGCCCUGGAACGAUAGUCAAACCCGUAAUUUACCCGUGA